AUGAGGGCUACACAAGUUCUACUCCUAUUCCUUGUCCUCUUCGUCCUAUCCCCAGAUCUGGCAAAGGCUAAGCUGCACUGCACGGAUUUCAUCAUAGUCAACCAGUGCGACGUGGACGAGAUCACAUGCCAACAUUACUGCUACAGCCAGUUCAAUGGAACCGGCAAGUGCAUCCCCCACAAAGGAUGCCAGUGUCAUUUCUGCUAUGCAACUCCACCCAAGCCAUCGCCUGCUAGCAGCUCCUAG
rnacentral:rRNA from 1 species